UCCUGGGUUAGACGGCGGACGGGUGAGUAAUGCCUAGGAAUCUGCCUGGUAGUGGGGGACAACGUUUUGAAAGGAACGCUAAUACCGCAUACGUCCUACGGGAGAAAGCAGGGGACCUUCGGGCCUUGCGCUAUCACAUGAGCCUAGGUCGGAUUAGCUAGUUGGUGAGGUAAUGGCUCACCAAGGCGACGAUCCGUAACUGGUCUGAAAGGAUGAUCAGUCACACUGGAACUGACACACGGUCCAGACUCCUACGGGAGGCAGCAGUGGGGAAUAUUGGACAAUGGGCGAAAGCCUGAUCCAGCCAUGCCGCGUGUGUGAAGAAGGUCUUCGGAUUGUAAAGCACUUUAAGUUGGGAGGAAGGGUUGUAUAUUAAUACUCUGCAAUUUUGACGUUACCGACAGAAUAAGCACCGGCUAACUCUGUGCCAGCAGCCGCGGUAAUACAAAGGGUGCAAGCGUUAAUCGGAAUUACUGGGCGUAAAGCGCGCGUAGGUGGUUUGUUAAGUUGGAUGUGAAAUCCCCGGGCUCAUCCUGGGAACUGCAUCCAAAACUGGCAAGCUAGAGUAUGGUAGAGGGUGGUGGAAUUUCCUGUGUAGCGGUGAAAUGCGUAGAUAUAGGAAGGAACACCAGUGGCGAACGCGACCACCUGGACUGAUACUGACACUGAUGUGCGAAAGCGUGUGGAGCAAACAGGAUUAGAUACCCUGGUACUCCACGCCGUAAACGAUGUCACUAGCCGUUGGGAGCCUUGAGCUCUUAGUUGAGCAGCUAACUCAUUAAGUUUGACCGUCCUGGGGGAAGUACUGCUCGACAUCGGUUAAUACA
rnacentral:rRNA from 1 species